rnacentral:rRNA from 1 species
UGAGGAAUAUUGGGCAAUGCCCGAAAGGGUGACCCAGCAACGCCGCGUGGAGGAUGAAGGUCGUAAGAUUGUAAACUCCUGUUAGAGGGGAAGAAUAACUAAGUUUGGAGCUUAGUAUGACUGUACCCUCAGAGAAAGCCCCGGCUAACUACGUGCCAGCGGCCGCGGUAAUACGUAGGGGGCAAGCGUUGUCCGGAUUUACUGGGUGUAAAGGGCGCGCAGGCGGAAUGGAAAGUCAGUGGUGAAAUCCUACAGCUUAACUGUAGAACUGCCUUUGAUACUUUCAUUCUUGAGUUCGGGAGAGNGAGACGGAAUUCCAGGUGUAGUGGUGAAAUACGUAGAUAUCUGGAAGAACACCAGUUGCGAAGGCGGUCUCUUGGUCCGAUACUGACGCUGAGGCGCGAAAGCGUGGGGAGCAAACA